rnacentral:pre_miRNA from 1 species
AAAACAUUCGAACCAUUGGUCUACCGAGAAAUUCCGCCCGCUCGAUGGAAGAUCUUCCCUUCGUCGU